rnacentral:rRNA from 1 species
UUAACACAUGCAAGUUGAGGGGCAGCACAGGUAGCAAUACCGGGUGGCGACCGGCGCACGGGUGAGUAACGCGUAUGCAACUUGCCUAUCAGAGGGGGAUAACCCGGCGAAAGUCGGACUAAUACCGCAUGAAGCAGGGGCCCCGCAUGGGGAUAUUUGCUAAAGAUUCAUCGCUGAUAGAUAGGCAUGCGUUCCAUUAGGCAGUUGGCGGGGUAACGGCCCACCAAACCGACGAUGGAUAGGGGUUCUGAGAGGAAGGUCCCCCACAUUGGUACUGAGACACGGACCAAACUCCUACGGGAGGCAGCAGUGAGGAAUAUUGGUCAAUGGCCGAGAGGCUGAACCAGCCAAGUCGCGUGAGGGAUGAAGGUUCUAUGGAUCGUAAACCUCUUUUAUAAGGGAAUAAAGUGCGGGACGUGUCCCGUUUUGUAUGUACCUUAUGAAUAAGGAUCGGCUAACUCCGUGCCAGCAGCCGCAGUAAUACGGAGGAUCCGAGCGUUAUCCGGAUUUAUUGGGUUUAAAGGGUGCGUAGGCGGCCUUUUAAGUCAGCGGUGAAAGUCUGUGGCUCAACCAUAGAAUUGCCGUUGAAACUGGGGGGCUUGAGUAUGUUUGAGGCAGGCGGAAUGCGUGGUGUAGCGGUGAAAUGCAUAGAUAUCACGCAGAACCCCGAUUGCGAAGGCAGCCUGCCAAGCCAUGACUGACGCUGAUGCACGAAAGCGUGGGGAUCAAACAGGAUUAGAUACCCUGGUAGUCCACGCAGUAAACGAUGAUCACUAGCUGUUUGCGAUACACUGUAAGCGGCACAGCGAAAGCGUUAAGUGAUCCACCUGGGGAGUACGCCGGCAACGGUGAAACUCAAAGGAAUUGACGGGGGCCCGCACAAGCGGAGGAACAUGUGGUUUAAUUCGAUGAUACGCGAGGAACCUUACCCGGGUUUGAACGCAUUCGGACCGAGGUGGAAACACCUUUUCUAGCAAUAGCCGUUUGCGAGGUGCUGCAUGGUUGUCGUCAGCUCGUGCCGUGAGGUGUCGGCUUAAGUGCCAUAACGAGCGCAACCCUUGCCACUAGUUACUAACAGGUGAUGCUGAGGACUCUGGUGGGACUGCCAGCGUAAGCUGCGAGGAAGGCGGGGAUGACGUCAAAUCAGCACGGCCCUUACAUCCGGGGCGACACACGUGUUACAAUGGCGUGGACAAAGGGAGGCCACCUGGCGACAGGGAGCGAAUCCCCAAACCACGUCUCAGUUCGGAUCGGAGUCUGCAACCCGACUCCGUGAAGCUGGAUUCGCUAGUAAUCGCGCAUCAGCCAUGGCGCGGUGAAUACGUUCCCGGGCCUUGUACACACCGCCCGUCAAGCCAUGGGAGCCGGGGGUACCUGAAGUCCGUAACCGCGAGGAUCGGCCUAGGGUAAAACUGGUGACUGGGGCUAAA